rnacentral:tRNA from 1 species
AGCGAGAUAGAGCAGUGGUUAGCUCGUCGGGCUCAUAACUCGAAGGUCGUAGGUUCGAAUCCUACUCUCGCAA